ACGAUUACUUGCAGCUGCUUAUCGUCUUCAACUGACCACCUCUAACCUUCCACAGCCUUCCUCUCUUCACCUGACUACACUUUCUUUCAGAUCUCAGAGCAAAGGUUUCCUCACCUGACCUCUACUUAUCUAACCUUACCUCGGGUCUUCCUCACCUGAUCUGCCUGCCUCAGGAAGAAGAACAAGAAGUCAAUAUUCUCAAAGAUUGUUCAAGAGACAUUAUGACCAGUCUGCCAGAGGGAUCAUGGAAACACAGAAACGAGGACACUAGCCCGGAGAAAAUACAACUUAUUAAAAUGUGGUUGAUCGGCCAGUGACGAGGAGCAGGUGGUCAAGAUCGUCCAGCUGAGAUCUCCUGGGAGGCCCUCAGGUCACGGAGAUUUAUCUGCCUCAGAGUGGACCUGGCCUGAGUCAUCCUCCAGAGGAAGAUGGUUAGAUGGGUGCAGAUGACCCUCAAGUGAAAGUUGGAAGUGUAAGAGGCUGUGAGAAACAUCCUGAUCCCUGAUGACAGAUGUCUGUCGACUGGCGCUCUUAACCAGAGGACAGAAACUCGAGCAGAUAGUGAAGAGACACAGAUAAAAAGACAGAGAGGAAGAGGAAAAGAAAAGACAGAGAGGCUGUGUUUAGA